AUUGAACGCUGGCGGCAUGCUUUACACAUGCAAGUCGAACGGCAGCGCGGGCUUCGGCCUGGCGGCGAGUGGCGAACGGGUGAGUAAUGCAUCGGAACGUGCCCAGUAGUGGGGGAUAGCCCGGCGAAAGCCGGAUUAAUACCGCAUACGACCUGAGGGUGAAAGCGGGGGACCGAAAGGCCUCGCGCUAUUGGAGCGGCCGAUGUCGGAUUAGCUAGUUGGUGGGGUAAAGGCUUACCAAGGCGACGAUCCGUAGCUGGUCUGAGAGGACGACCAGCCACACCUGGACUGAGACCCCGCCCAAGCUCCUACGGGAGGCCGCCGGGGGGAAAUUUGGACCAUUGGGGCAACCCUGAUCCAGCCAUGCCGCGUGCGGGAAGAAGGCCUUCGGGUUGUAAACCGCUUUUGUUCGGGAAGAAAUCCUCUGGGCUAAUACCCCGGGGGGAUGACGGUACCGGAAGAAUAAGCACCGGCUAACUACGUG
rnacentral:rRNA from 1 species